rnacentral:rRNA from 1 species
GAUGAACGCUGGCGGCGUGCCUAAUACAUGCAAGUCGAGCGAACGGACGAGAAGCUUGCUUCUCUGAUGUUAGCGGCGGACGGGUGAGUAACACGUGGAUAACCUACCUAUAAGACUGGGAUAACUUCGGGAAACCGGAGCUAAUACCGGAGGAUAUUUUGAACCGCAUGGUUCAAAAGUGAAAGACGGUCUUGCUGUCACUUAUAGAUGGAUCCGCGCUGCAUUAGCUAGUUGGUAAGGUAACGGCUUACCAAGGCAACGAUGCAUAGCCGAACUGAGAGGGUGAUCGGCCACACUGGAACUGAGACACGGUCCAGACUCCUACGGGAGGCAGCAGUAGGGAAUCUUACGCAAUGGGCGAAAGCCUGACGGAGCAACGCCGCGUGAGUGAUGAAGGUCUUCGGAUCGUAAAACUCUGUUAUUAGGGAAGAACAUAUGUGUAAGUAACUGUGCACAUCUUGACGGUACCUAAUCAGAAAGCCACGGCUAACUACGUG